CCUACGGGAGACAGCAGUCGAGAAUCAUUCACAAUGGGGGAAACCCUGAUGGUGCGACGCCGCGUGGGGGAAUGAAGGUCUUCGGAUUGUAAACCCCUGUCAUGUGGGAGCAAAUUAAAAAGAUAGUACCACAAGAGGAAGAGACGGCUAACUCUGUGCCAGCAGCCGCGGUAAUACAGAGGUCUCAAGCGUUGUUCGGAAUCACUGGGCGUAAAGGGUGCGUAGGCUGUUUCGUAAGUCGUGUGUGAAAGGCGCGGGCUCAACCCGCGGACGGCACAUGAUACUGGGAGACUAGAGUAAUGGAGGGGGAACCGGAAUUCUCGGUGUAGCAGUGAAAUGCGUAGAUAUCGAGAGGAACACUCGUGGCGAAGGCGGGUUCCUGGACAUUAACUGACGCUGAGGCACGAAGGCCAGGGGAGCGAAAGGGAUUAGAUACCCUUGUAGUC
rnacentral:rRNA from 1 species